rnacentral:rRNA from 1 species
GAUGAACGCUGGCGGCGUGCCUAAUACAUGCAAGUCGAGCGAACGGACGAGAAGCUUGCUUCUCUGAUGUUAGCGGCGGACGGGUGAGUAACACGUGGAUAACCUACCUAUAAGACUGGGAUAACUUCGGGAAACCGGAGCUAAUACCGGAUGAUAUUUUGAACCGCAUGGUUCAAAAGUGAAAGACGGUCUUGCUGUCACUUAUAGAUGGAUCCGCGCUGCAUUAGCUAGUUGGUAAGGUAACGGCUUACCAAGGCAACGAUGCAUAGCCGACCUGAGAGGGUGAUAGGCCACACUGGAACUGAGACACGGUCAAGACUCCUACGGGAGGCAGCAGUAGGGAAUCUUCCGCAAUGGGCGAAAGCCUGACGGAGCAACGCCGCGUGAGUGAUGAAGGUCUUCGGAUCGUAAAACUCUGUUAUUAGGGAAGAACAGAUGUGUAAGUAACUGUGCACAGCGUGACGGUACCUAAUCAGAAAGCCACGGCUAACUACGUG